rnacentral:ncRNA from 1 species
GAUUAGAGAGGUACAUCUGUCAAAUGGUAAUGCAGGUCUCCUAAAGCAAGCUCAGUAAGAACAGAAAACUCCCAUGACGAAAAAAAGCUCACUUGAUNUUGAUUUUCAGUAUNAAAACAGACCACGUGAAUGG